GUGUCAGCCGCCGCGGUAAGACAGAGGUGGCGAGCGUUGUUCGGAAUUACUGGGCUUAAAGGGCGAGUAGGCGGUGGAGCAAGUCUGAGGUGGAAUCCUACGGCUUAACCGUAGAACUGCCUUGGAAACUGUUUUACUUGAGUCAGUGAGGGGAGGGCGGAAUUCCUGGUGUAGCGGUGAAAUGCGUAGAUAUCAGGAGGAAGGCCUGUGGCGAAAGUGGCCCUCUGGCACUGUACUGACGCUGAGGCGCGAAAGCGUGGGGAGCAAACAGGAUUAGAAACCCGGGUAGUCC
rnacentral:rRNA from 1 species